AGCGAACGCUGGCGGCAGGCCUAACACAUGCCAGUCGAACGAACCUUUCGGGGUUAGUGGCGGACGGGUGAGUAACACGUGGGAACGUGCCUUUAGGUUCGGAAUAACUCAGGGAAACUUGUGCUAAUACCGAAUGCGCCCUUCGGGGGAAAGAUUUGUCGCCUUUAGAGCGGCCCGCGUCUGAUUAGCUAGUUGGUUGAGGUAAUGGCUCACCAAGGCGACGAUCAGUAGCUGGUCUGAGAGGAUGAUCAGCCACAUUGGGACUGAGACACGGCCCAAACUCCUACGGGAGGCAGCAGUGGGGAAUCUUGCGCAAUGGGCGAAAGCCUGACGCAGCCAUGCCGCGUGAAUGAUGAAGGUCUUAGGAUUGUAAAAUUCUUUCACCGGGGACGAUAAUGACGGUACCCGGAGAAGAAGCCCCGGCUAACUUCGUG
rnacentral:rRNA from 1 species